UUACCGGCUUGAACCGAUAGAGAUUGAAUAAGAGGUGCUGCAUGGCUGUCGUCAGCUCGUGUCGUGAGAUGUUGGGUUAAGUCCCGCAACGAGCGCAACCCUAUCUUAGUUGCCAGCGUACGGGACUCUAAGAGACUGCCCGGGUUAACGGGAGGAAGGUGGGGAUGACGUCAAGUCCUCAUGGCCCUUAUGCCGGGCUACACACGUGCUACAAUGGGUACAAGCGGCACAGUGAUGGGUGCAAUCGCAAAACGUCUCAGUUCGGAUCGCAGUCUGCAACUCGACUGCGUGAAGUUGGAAUCGCUAGUAAUCGCGAACAGAUGCGCGGUGAAUACGUUCCCGGGCCUUGUACACACCGCCCGUCACACCAUGGAAGUUGAAGGCUGAA
rnacentral:rRNA from 1 species